rnacentral:lncRNA from 1 species
ACAUUGACUUCAGUUGCUGGGAACAGAAAGGACCAGGACAGCUCUACCUGCUGAGCCAAAACUGCAGUAAUCCUUCACAGCUACUCCCUUAUAAAAGCAAGGCAUGGCAGGUUUGAGCAAAACAACAAUAGAUUGGGACCUACAGACAGACAGCUGGAGGAUUUCUCAAAAAUCAGCAAAGAUUCUGGAGUCUCCAUUAUUUACAAUAGCAACAAUUGGGUAACUUUCCUACCCCAAAUAUUAAUAGUGGCAAUAAAUCAUUGGCUGUUUUGGAGUCCCACGUUCAAGUUGUUCGGAAUGGAUCCAUGACUUAUGGAUAACACCAAGAAAUUCAUAAACAAAAACACCAAAAUAAAACAAUGCUGAAACUGCCA